rnacentral:rRNA from 1 species
AGAGCGAACGCUGGCGGCAGGCUUAACACAUGCAAGUCGAGCGGAUGUAGCAAUACAUCAGCGGCAGACGGGAUAGUAACACGUGGGAACGCGCCCUUUGGUUCGGAAUAACUCAGGGAAACUUGAGCUAAUACCGGAUAAGCCCUUACGGGGAAAGAUUUAUCGCCAAAGGAACGGCCCGCGUCCGAUUAGCUAGUUGGUGAGGUAAUGGCUCACCAAGGCGACGAUCGGUAGCUGGUCUGAGAGGAUGACCAGCAUCACUGGGACUGAGACACGGCCCAGACUCCUACGGGAGGCAGCAGUGGGGAAUAUUGGACAAUGGGCGCAAGCCUGAUCCAGCCAUGCCGCGUGGAUGAUGAAGGCCCUAGGGUUGUAAAGUCCUUUUAACGGGAAGAUAAUGACGGUACCGUAGAAUAAGCCCGGCUAACUUCGUGCCAGCAGCCGC